CACCGUACAGGGCCAUACUACGCACUAC
rnacentral:sRNA from 1 species